rnacentral:rRNA from 1 species
CCUACGGGAGGCAGCAGUAAGGAAUCUUCCGCAAUGGGCGAAAGCCUGACGGAGCAACGCCGCGUGGGCGAUGAAGGCCUUCGGGUCGUAAAGCCCUUUUCUGUGGGACGAUAAUGACGGUACCACAGGAAUAAGCCACGGCUAACUACGUGCCAGCAGCCGCGGUAAUACGUAGGUGGCUAGCGUUAUCCGGAUUCACUGGGCGUAAAGCGCGCGCAGGUGGCCUGUCAAGUCGGACGUGAAAUCUCCCGGCUCAACUGGGAGGGGCCGUUCGAUACUGGCGGGCUUGAGGGCAGAAGGGGAAGGCGAAAUUCCCGGUGUAGUGGUGGAAUGCGUAGAUAUCGGGAGGAACACCAGUGGCGAAGGCGGCCUUCUGGUCUGCCCCUGACACUCAGGCGCGAAAGCGUGGGGAGCGAACGGGAUUAGAUACCCUAGUAGU